rnacentral:rRNA from 1 species
UUUCCGGUUGAUCCUGCCGGAGGACAUUGCUAUUGGGAUUCGAUUUAGCCAUGCUAGUCGAACGAGUUCACACUCGUGGCACAUAGCUCAGUAACACGUGGCCAAGCUACCCUUCAGUCAGCAAUACCCUCGGGAAACUGAGGCUAAUAGCUGAUACGAAACAGACGCUGGAAUGCACUGUAUUCCAAAGACAUCGCUGAAGGAUGCGGCUGCGGCCGAUUAGGUAGACGGUGGGGUAACGGCCCACCGUGCCAGUAAUCGGUACGGGUGAUGAGAGUCAGAGCCCGGAGACGGAAUCUGAGACAAGAUUCCGGGCCCUACGGGCGCAGCAGGCGCGAAACCUUUACACUGCACGCACGUGCGAUAAGGGGACUCCGAGUGCGAGGGCAUAUCGUCCUCGCUUUCGUGUACCGUAGGGUGGUACACCAACAAGGGCUGGGCAAGACCGGUGCCAGCCGCCGCGGUAAUACCGGCAGCCCGAGUGAUGGCCGAUCUUAUUGGGCCUAAAGCGUCCGUAGCUGGCUGCGCAAGUCCGUCGGGAAAUCCACUCGCCCAACGAGUGGGCGUCCGACGGAAACUGCACAGCUUGGGACCGGAAGGCUCGAAGGGUACGUUCGGGGUAGGAGUGAAAUCCCAUAAUCCCGCACGGACCACCGAUGGCGAAAGCACUUCGAGAAAACGGAUCCGACAGUGAGGGACGAAAGCCAGGGUCUCCAACCGGAUUAGAUACCCGGGUAGUCCUGGCCGUAAACAAUGUUCGCUAGGUAUGACACAGACUACGCGUCUCUGUUGUGCCGUAGGGAAGCCGAGAAGCGAACCGCCUGGGAAGUACGUCUGCAAGGAUGAAACUUAAAGGGAUUGGCGGGGGAGCACUACAACCGGAGGAGCCUGCGGUUUAAUUGGACUCAACGCCGGACAUCUCACCAGCUCCGACUACAGUGAUGACGACCAGGUUGAUGACCUCAUCACGACGCUGUAGAGAGGAGGUGCAUGGCCGCCGUCAGCUCGUACCGUGAGGCGUCCUGUUAAGUCAGGCAACGAGCGAGACCCGCACCCCUAAUUGCCAGCAACAGUUUCGACUGGUUGGGUACAUUAGGAGGACUGCCAGUGUUAAACUGGAGGAAGGAACGGGCAACGGUAGGUCAGUAUGCCCCGAAUGAGCUGGGCAACACGCGGGCUACAAUGGCUAAGACAAUGGGUCGCUAUCUCGACAGAGAACGCUAAUCUCGAAACUUAGUCGUAGUUCGGAUUGAGGGCUGAAACUCGCCCUCAUGAAGCUGGAUUCGGUAGUAGCCGCCUUUCAGUAGAAGGCGACGAAUACGUCCCUGCUCCUUGUACACA